GGUGUGUAAUGGUUGAGGCAGAUGAGGCUUAAAUGGGUUGCAACCCCUUGGCUUUGGCAUUCCACCAAUUGGGAGAAAUUGAGGCGAAAAACAAUUCAAUCAACUAUAUAAAUGGUAUAAAUAGUAACGCACAUACCAAGCAUGAUAAUGAAGCAGUAAAAACAGGCAAAUGGCGGCUGAUCUAAUGGUGAAAGGGGCUGAGAUCAAACCAUAAAAAUUAUGUGGAGCCUAAGGUGAUUUGAGCAUUAAUCAGCCCUUGGUGAGAUGGGCUUAAUGUAUGUGGUCUAGGAUGGAGGCUAGUCAGGGGUCAAUGUGGACUACAUGUCAAGGACCAAAGUGAGCUAAAACAGUGAGGCAUGGAGGCCAAGAAAUAAGGCUCAACUUGGUAGAG
rnacentral:lncRNA from 1 species